AGUUAUAUACAAAGUCACCCCGCCUUCACACGGCGGGGGUCACAGGUUCAAUCCCUGUCGCACCCACCA
rnacentral:tRNA from 1 species